UACGUAUGGGGCAAGCGUUGUCCGGAUUUAUUGGGCGUAAAGAGCGUGUAGGCGGCCAGACAGGUCAGCUGUGAAAACUCGAGGCUCAACCUCGAGACGUCGGUUGAAACCGUCUGGCUAGAGUCCGGAAGAGGAGAGUGGAAUUCCCGGUGUAGCGGUGAAAUGCGCAGAUAUCGGGAAGAACACCCGUGGCGAAGGCGGCUCUCUGGGACGGUACUGACGCUGAGACGCGAAAGCGUGGGGAGCGAACAGG
rnacentral:rRNA from 1 species